UAGGGAAUCUUCCGCAAUGGACGCAAGUCUGACGGAGCAACGCCGCGUGAGUGAAGAAGGAUUUCGGUUCGUAAAACUCUGUUGUUAGAGAAGAACAGCGCAUAGAGUAACUGUUAUGCGUGUGACGGUAUCUAACCAGAAAGCCACGGCUAACUACGUGCCAGCAGCCGCGGUAAUACGUAGGUGGCAAGCGUUGUCCGGAUUUAUUGGGCGUAAAGCGAGCGCAGGCGGUCAAUUAAGUCGGAUGUUAAAGCCCACGGCUCAACCGGGGAGGGUCAUUGGAAACUGGUGGACUUGAGUGCAGAAGAGGAGGGUGGAAUUCAGUGUGUACCGGUGAAAUGCGUAGAUAUAUGGAGGAAUACCAGUGGCGAAGGCGACUCUUUGGUCUGUAACGGACGCUGAGGCUCGAAAGCGUGGGUAGCAAACAGG
rnacentral:rRNA from 1 species